GGCAAAACCGCGGCCCGGGCUAGGGUCUCCAUUCCUGUCCCUGCCCGCCCCGGAGCACACGAACGGUACCUGGCGGGGAGCGGGAGAAGUUGCGUCCGGCCGCGCUGACCGCCUGGAUGUAGAAGUACCGCACGGGCACGCAAUUGCAUUUACAGCGAAGGACAGAGCAGGGACCCUGUCACUGGGCUCAGCUCCCGGUCCCAGAGAGGAGGCUCAGACACGCAACCAUGCCCAGGUGCUCCUGAGGUCUGUGUGUGAGAUGCUGCUGGUGGCCCUGAUCAGUGCUGUGAUGCUCAGUGAGGGGGGAAAAGGGAUCACAGUAUUAUCCUAUAGAAAAUGUAACAACAAAAUAAUUUCAUGGAUUUAAAAUGUUGGGUUACAAGUAAAGAGGGCGAAACUCCCAUGAUUUGUCUCCUAAGAUUGUUUUAUCGUUUUUACUGUUUGCUGCUACUAGGAAGUAUUUCAAGGUAUGAGUAGAUGGGAGGGCUUACAAGGCUGUAGGAGAAUUAAAUCAAGCUUCUGGGCAAGCCUGGAUUUUCACAUGCAAAGCAAUGAGAGCACAAAUGAAUUCUGCCUGGUUUUGAAUAACGUGAACUUCAAGUCUCUGUGUGUACAGCCCAUGAAAAACAGGUUCCUUGAAGGGGGAAUUAUCAAGUCUGGUUUCCUCCUUGCUUUUGUCUUUAGUCUCUUCAAUUCUUUCACCCCAGAUAGCCACAGAUCUCCACUGACAUACCGUGUCUGAUACUCCCAACAGGUGAGAGAAAACUUGUGUAGUGUUGCAGGGUGCAGAGCAGGGCUGAGGUCAGCCGGGGACAUCAAUCUGCAGAUCAGGAUCAGUCCCUGUGAGGGGAAUUGGGGAUAGCUGCCUGUCCUGGGGUUGUCAGCCUGCAGAUAGGGCCACACUCAGCAGGGAGGGCAGAGGAGAGCUGGAGACCAAUGACCUAUGCCAUCAGUGGGGCAGGGACUGAUGGCCCCAGACCUGAAAUGGUGUCCAUGGGCAGGGGGAGCAUGGGGAGCCCUGAGGAGAUGGGGGGAUCAGGGCCUGAUGGUGCUCUUGGGCCACUGUCCCUGGGAAGGAGCCACCCCUGUUCUGGUAUGGGCUGGGACCAGCUGUUGGGAGCAGCUCUGAGGGAAUGGCCCUGGGGAUUCUGGUGGGCAUGGAGGGACAUGGGCCAUCAAUGGCACUAACAGUGGCCAACGGCAGCCUGGGCUGAAGGAACAUGGGCAGAGCCAGAGGUUGAGGGGAGUGAUUAUCCACCUCCACUCAGUACUCAUUAGACCACAUCUAGAUCCUGCAUCCAGCCUUGGGCUCCCCAGUACAAGACAUCAAUAAACUGGAUCAAAUCCAGGGGAAGCCACUGACAUGGCAGAGCUGGAGCACCGGCCCUGUGAGGAGAAACUGGGGCAGCUGGACUUGUUAAGCCUGUUAAGAGAUACCUUCGAUGAGGGAGUGGACCUCACAGAAGCCCCCAGGAAGAUCAUGAUAUGGUGCAGGGCAGAAGGAUGAAAGACAACUGGCAUGAGCUGAAAUAAGUGAUGGUCACACUGUAACAUCUCCAUGUUAUAGGCUGAGGCACAGGUUGCCCAGAGAGACUGUCCAGUUUCCAUCUUCAGAGAUUUUCAAGCCUCAAAUGGAUGAAGCCUUAAAAAGCCAGCCCUGACCUCGAAGCCAGUCUGCUGUGAGCAGGAGGCUGGACCGUAGACCUUCUGAGGUCACACCCACCCUGACAUAUCCUUUGAUGAAACAAUGACGUUUCUGUCCCUUCUUUCAAAUGUCAUCAAGAUGAUAGAAUGCUCAAAGAUCAUCUAGGUACAUGCACGACCUAGUGGGUAGACAGAGGUCUAGACAGAAAAACCACCUUAGUUCAUAAACUGUUUCCUUCUGAAGCCAGGCUGAAGGACUACUCAGGUACCACAAGUACUGGCUGUAGUAAUUAAGACUGAAAGACUGUGAUUAGUCUCACUCAUUUACACGGCACGUGGCAGCCAGGUUUCACUCAGGCCUAAUUGCAGCUGAAGGGAUCUUCAUGUGGAGCUCAUCACCUGUUAAAACUACUCAUCAAACGCUACCCUUGGCCCCUACGUGGAGUAUUGGCACCUUAAGGCAAGUUGCAGGCAUAUGGCUCUCUAAGGGUUUGAUAUAUCUAUUGUAAAGAUUCUACCACGGAUGGAAAACUAUUUUGUGUGCUGGAGACUUGUCAGCUGGCAGGAUGAGAGAAGGCAGCACAUCCUGCCUGAGCCCAGCAGCUGAUGUGACUGCUGGUUACAGCUGUGAGAUGGACCAAGGCUGCCUGCCCUGCUCAAUCCAUGGCUUUGUUGGCCAUCAGCACCCUGAUGAUGUUGGCAACCAUAUUAAGAUGCUGGAUUUUUUUUUAAUAGUCUACUGCAUUCACAGCAUGUGAAAAACAAAUACAGUAUCAAUACGUUUUUUCAUGUAAAUGCAGAAUUUAUAUCAAACAAAUAGUUUUAAAUGUGAAAAUCCUGUAAAUUCUCAAUAUUUAUAGAAUAUAUUUUGCCAAAGAAAAUCUUGGAAGAGUGGAAGUGUCAAAAUUUGGCUCUGCUAAACUGAAUGGAGCUGAUUGCUAUUCAAAAGGUAUUUCUCCCUAUGUUUUCAUGCAGUUGACUGUUAAAAUACUGUUGUUAUUCAGUGUAAAUUUGAGUUUACAGAUCCUCAACAGGCUGCAGUCUUCCACAACUAAUUUACAAUCAAAAGCAGUUUUUACUUGCUUACAUUAAACCAAGCCACCUGAUUUCCUGUCAUACACAGCAUAGCAAAUGAAAAAAAAAUUAUAUCUGCAAGGUGAGCACUUAAUCCAACUACUGUGGAAUGGUUAGAAAAUAUUUACAAAUAAAAAUGUUCUAAACCAUCCACAUCUAGUCAAGAAAAACUGUAUGACAAUUUACUUCCUUUGUAGACAUUUCUUUUAUUAUUCUUUACCUUAUGUAGACUGGUAUCCCAAAUUUUUGGAUUAAUUUAUUUUGCAGAAAUGUACAACAGCAGAAAUUCCGCACAGAUACUCAGCUGGUUUAUUGUUUUACUCUACAGAAUCCUGUACACACAGAGAAUAAAGACAUUUACAGAAAAACAUAAUCUCUCCUUAGAAUACCACUUUUUACAAGACUGCAAUUAUACAGUAGUCAUCUCCUUCCAGCAUUGCCUAUGUUAGCAUAUUCUUUUAUCCUUGUGAAACAGGCAUGUGGUAGAGAUCAGUUCUGUCUAUAAAUAUACAGUUUAUGUUAGUCCUUCUAUGUACAACAAAAGAAAAAUUACCCCAGCAAAAAGUAAUGAUAUAUAUCAGUACAGAUUUGAACUACAGACCCACUUCUUUAACGAAGCUUACAGUAUGAAAAAAUAAGGAUACAUCUUGCCUACUGUAAUAUUUUCAUCUUUUAGUUUCUUGUGGAGUAGUCAGUGAUACAAGCAUUGCUUGUUUUGUGUAAAAUAUAUUAUUUUAAAAUACCAAUAUACUGUCCUUCAAGUUAGAAAAAUAUAAUUAUGUCCUACAGAAAUUUUAUUGGAUUAAAAAGCAUAUAAAAAUAUGGACCAUCAUUUCAGACCAUAUAUGAAACUAGAAAUAAAGUAGAACAAAAUGUAUAAUUAUUUUAAAAUAUAUCUUCUGGCUCAAUGAGCCACUUCUGAUUUUUCAUGAAAAGAGAACAAAGCUUAGUUAGAAAUUUAAUGGCCAGGGACAAGUUUUGGCUACUGAGUUAAAACACUACAUUAUUGUUGUGGCUGAAGAAGAGCCAAUGGAACAUGUUUACACCCAUUCAGUUUAGAGGAUAAAGAGUACUGUGGUCACAGCAGGAACAGUUGAAAAAUACCAAAAGGGGAUGGUAGUUUAACAAAGGGCAAAGAACCUUUCUUACUGGUUUUAUUUACUCUGCAUGUAAGAAGCCACCAGUCUGUACAGUGCAGUGGUGCUCCAGCCAAGUGCCCUCUCAGCCUGCCCCAGGUGCUGCUGCCCUGAAGGAGCCCAGUGGCUGCACGUACCUCAUCCUGAGACCAGCCAAGCAGAGGCAGCUACAGAACUCUAAGACCUCACAAACUGCUUUGGUCAUUUUCUCACUGCUAGAACAACUAAAGAUUCAACCUGUGCGGUUAAUACAGGAAACCAACAAGCUAAAUCUUUUUAUAUUUUGAAUUGUUAAAAGUGUAUGUCUUUUGAUCCAAAUUAACCUGUUUCUAAGAAAUCUGGCCAGCCAUGUCAACUGUAACCAAAGCUGUGCUGGUUAUGAAUCGUCCAUGUCUGGAAAGCAGAUUUUCACGCUCAGCUUUCUUUCUUUUGAUCAGUUUCUCAGUGCUGUGCCCUGUGUUGAGCUUUUACUCCUACACUAGAAAUACUUCUGCAACUCACAUUGCUCACUGCUCUUGCAAUGCUGAAAAGUCCUGGUGUGGAAUCUGCCUCAACAGCACAGCAGAACAAAUGCCACCAGGGACAUUGUUGCUAUGCUUCCCAGGAAUGCAGAAAAAGAACAUUCAUGCAGAAUGCGCUGUAAAGAUUUAAGAGGUUUCAUUUUGUGAGGAUAUUUGUUCAGUGGGAAGGAUUAGCAUUAUCAUUCUUGAUAAUGAGGAACAUCAGAGAAACAACAAAUUAUCAGCAAAAUAACUUCUUGGUUUUCUGUUAAGUUCUGUAAGAAAAAGCAGCUCAUGCUAGAAUUUAUCCAUUCCAGCACUGUGUAGCUGGCAGGAACCUAACUACUGCUUGCUGACUCAGAGGAAAGCCAUCCCUGGACUUACACUGCCCAAAGCUCCACAGCUGUUUACCUUCUAUUAUUUGGGGGAGGGAUUUUUUAACAUUGAUUUUCCCUGCUAAGAGAAACAGGAAAGGUGAAGCCACACAUUUAAUACAAAAGUCAAAUGCUCAGCUAGUAUACCUUACUAACUCCCUUGAAACUAAGGAAGCUGUACCAAUUUAUAGCAGCACAA